rnacentral:rRNA from 1 species
AGGUAGCAUAAUAAAUAGUCUUUUAAUUGAAGUCUAGUAUGAAUGGUCGGACAUGAAGUAAGCUGUUUUAACUUUGAUGUUUAAAUUUUACUUUUAAGUGAAAAGGCUUAAAUUUAAUGGUGGGACGAUAAGACCCUAUAAAGA